rnacentral:tRNA from 1 species
GCGGGCGUGGCGGAAUUGGCAGACGCGCCAGGUUUAGGACCUGGUGGCCGAAAGGCCGUGGGGGUUCAAAUCCCUCCGCCCGCA